rnacentral:rRNA from 1 species
AUUGAACGCUGGCGGCAUGCUUUACACAUGCAAGUCGAACGGUAACAGGGAGCUUGCUCCGCUGACGAGUGGCGAACGGGUGAGUAAUGCAUCGGAACGUACCCAGUCGUGGGGGAUAACGUAGCGAAAGUUACGCUAAUGCCGCAUACGUCCUGAGGGAGAAAGCGGGGGACCGGAAAGGCCUCGCGCGAUUGGAGCGGCCGAUGUCGGAUUAGCUAGUUGGUAGGGUAAAGGUCUACCAAGGCGACGAUCCGUAGCGGGUCUGAGAGGAUGAUCCGCCACACUGGGACUGAGACACGGCCCAGACUCCUACGGGAGGCAGCAGUGGGGAAUUUUGGACAAUGGGCGGCAAGCCUGAUCCAGCCAUGCCGCGUGUGUGAAGAAGGCCUGCGGGUUGUAAAGCACUUUAAGCAGGGAGGACGGGUUGCGGGCUAAUACCCUUGUGACUUGACGUUACCUGCAGAAUAAGCACCGGCUAACUACGUGCCAGCAGCCGCGGU